AGAGCGCAGGGUGGAUGCCUUGGCACUAAGAGCCGAUGAAAGACGUGAUAAGCUGCGAAAAGCUUCGGGGAGGAGCAAAUAUCCGAUGAUCCGGAGAUAUCUGAAUGGGGAAACCCGGCUGGACAGACUCCAGUCAUCCAUACGCCAAUCCAUAACGUAUGGAAGGGAACCCGGUGAACUGAAACAUCUAAGUAGCCGGAGGAAGAGAAAACAACAAGUGAUUCUGUGAGUAGCGGCGAGCGAAAACGGAAGAGCCCAAACCGGAAUGCGUGCAUUCCGGGGUUCGGACCGCGUAAUUGAUCUGAUAAGUUUAGCAGAAUGGUUUUGGGAAAGCCAGCCAGAGAGGGUGAAAGCCCCGUAAGCGAAAGACGAGUCAGCAAGGCGGGAUCCAGAGUACCACGAGACACGAGAAACCUUGUGGGAAUGAGCGGGGACCACCCCGUAAGGCUAAAUACUCCUUAGUGACCGAUAGCGCAUAGUACUGUGAAGGAAAGGUGAAAAGGACCCCGGGAGGGGAGUGAAAGAGAACCUGAAACCCUGUGUUUACAAGCUGUGGAACAUCUUUAUAUGAUGAACCGCGUACUUUUUGUAGAACGGUCCGGCGAGUUACGCCAUCUGGCGAGGUUAAGUUCUUAAGGAAUGGAGCCGAAGUGAAAACAAGUCUUAAUAGGGCGUGAAGUCAGAUGGAGUAGACCCGAAACCGGGUGAUCUAUCCAUGUCCAGGAUGAAGUUGCCGUAAAAGGCAAUGGAGGUCCGAACCCACAUCCGUUGAAAAGGGUGGGGAUGAGGUGUGGAUAGGGGAGAAAUUCCAAUCGAACCCGGAGAUAGCUGGUUCUCCUCGAAAUAGCUUUAGGGCUAGCCUCAUGAGAGUCUUUUGGAGGUAGAGCACUGAAUUCCCGCGGGGGCGUCAAAGCUUACCAAAGGAUAUCAAACUCCGAAUGCCAGUAAGAUGAUUCAUGGGAGUCAGACUACACGAGAUAAGUUGGGUAGUCAAAAGGGAAAGAGCCCAGACCUGCAGCUAAGGUCCCAAAAUGUGUGUUAAGUGGAAAAGGAUGUGGGAUUUCAAAGACAACCAGGAUGUUGGCUUAGAAGCAGCCAUACAUUAAAAGAGUGCGUAAUAGCUCACUGGUCGAGAGGUCCUGCGCCGAAAAUGUCCGGGGCUGAAACACACUACCGAAGCUCAGGAAUUAACGUAGUUAAUUGGUAGAGGAGCAUUCUUAAAGGGAAGAAGCAGUACCGGAAGGAGCUGUGGACUUUUAAGAAGAGAGAAUGCCGGAAUGAGUAGCGAGAGGAAGGUGAGAAUCCUUCCGGCCGAAUACCCAAGGUUUCCAGAGUAAAGCUGAUCUGCUCUGGGUAAGUCGGGGCCUAAGGUGAGGUCGAAAGACGUAGCCGAUGGACAACAGGUUGAAAUUCCUGUACUGCAGUAUAACAGAACUGUGGGGACGCAGAGGGAGAGCACUAGCGGGAAUGGAAUCCCGCGGCAAGCGAGGUAGGAGUAGAGUUGGCAAAUCCGCUCUAUAAUCCGAAGACGUGAUGCAUACCGAACUGAAGUAGGGAAAUGUGUGAGCCAGCUGCCAAGAAAAGCCGCUAUUGUUUGUACUGUACCCGUACCGUAAACCGACACAGGUAGGUGAGGAGAGAAUCCUAAGGCCGACGGGAGAAGCAUUGUUAAGGAACUCGGCAAAAUGACUCCGUAACUUCGGGAGAAGGAGUGCCAGUGAGAGCUGGCCGCAGAGAAUUGGCCCAAGCAACUGUUUAGCAAAAACACAGGUCUAUGCAAAACCGUAAGGUGAAGUAUAUGGGCUGACGCCUGCCCGGUGCUGGAAGGUUAAGGGGAGAGGUUAGCGCAAGCGAAGCUUUGAACUUAAGCCCCAGUAAACGGCGGCCGUAACUAUAACGGUCCUAAGGUAGCGAAAUUCCUUGUCGGGUAAGUUCCGACCCGCACGAAAGGCGUAAUGAUUUGGGCACUGUCUCAAC
rnacentral:rRNA from 1 species